GCAGAACAGAUCUUUGUUGCCGUUAUCUGUCAGUUCCCACUCCACAACGCAUUUUAUCUAGGAAUCCAGAAGAGAGUCACGGCAACAAAGAGCUGUU